GAUGAACGCUGGCGGCGUGCCUAAUACAUGCAAGUCGAGCGAACAGAUAAGGAGCUUGCUCCUUUGACGUUAGCGGCGGACGGGUGAGUAACACGUGGGUAACCUACCUAUAAGACUGGGAUAACUCCGGGAAACCGGGGCUAAUGCCGGAUAACAUUUAGAACCGCAUGGUUCUAUAGUGAAAGAUGGUUUUGCUAUCACUUAUAGAUGGAUCCGCGCCGUAUUAGCUAGUUGGUAAGGUAACGGCUUACCAAGGCAACGAUACGUAGCCGACCUGAGAGGGUGAUCGGCCACACUGGAACUGAGACACGGUCCAGACUCCUACGGGAGGCAGCAGUAGGGAAUCUUCCGCAAUGGGCGAAAGCCUGACGGAGCAACGCCGCGUGAGUGAUGAAGGUCUUCGGAUCGUAAAACUCUGUUAUUAGGGAAGAACAAAUGUGUAAGUAACUGUGCACGUCUUGACGGUACCUAAUCAGAAAGCCACGGCUAACUACGUG
rnacentral:rRNA from 1 species